UUGCCGUCGCCAAGUUGCGCUGAGGCAGAAGCUUGGGUGCGUUCAAGAUUCGGCGUCACCUGUAACCCACCGCCAUGGCAGAGGAAGGCAUAGCUGCUGGAGGCGUAAUGGACAUCAACACUGCUCUACAAGGUGUGCCGAAGAACGCCCUCAUCCACGAUGGCCUAGCCCAUAGCAUAAACGAAGCUUCCCAAGCCUUAGACAAGCGCCAAGCCCAUCUCUGUGUGCUUGCAUCCAACUGUGAUGAGUCACGUAUGUCAAAUUGAUGGAUGGCGCUUUGUGCCAAGCACCAAGUCAACUGGAUAUAGGAUGACGACAAGAAACUAGGGGAAUGGUAGGCCUCUGCAAAAUCGAUCAAGAGGGGAAAUCACGGAAAGUAGUUGGACUAUGGCAAAGAAUCUCAGGCCAAGGAUGUCACUGAGGAAUAUUUCAAAUGCAAGAAAUGA